rnacentral:rRNA from 1 species
ACGCACGCUGGCGGCGUGCCUAAUCCAUGCAAGUAGCACGCUGAAGGAGGAGCUUGCUUCUCCGGAUGAGUUGCGAACGGGUGAGUAACGCGUAGGUAACCUGCCUGGUAGCGGGGGAUAACUAUUGGAAACGAUAGCUAAUACCGCAUAAGAGUAGAUGUCGCAUGACAUUUGCUUAAAAGGUGCAACUGCACCACUACCAGAUGGACCUGCGUUGUAUUAGCUAGUUGGUGAGGUAACGGCUCACCAAGGCAACGAUACAUAGCCGACCUGAGAGGGUGAUCGGCCACACUGGGACUGAGACACGGCCCAGACUCCUACGGGAGGCAGCAGUAGGGAAUCUUCGGCAAUGGACGGAAGUCUGACCGAGCAACGCCGCGUGAGUGAAGAAGGUUUUCGGAUCGUAAAGCUCUGUUGUAAGAGAAGAACGAGUGUGAGAGUGGAAAGUUCACACUGUGACGGUAUCUUACCAGAAAGGGACGGCUAACUACGUG